CCAAGAAGAAUGCUGAUUCAGUAUCCGAUCGCCGUUCGUUACGAAGAUAACUACCUACAUGGACGAUCGUACGAACGAUCAAGUUUAAUGAGAAAAUUUAAUGAAUUAAUUAACAGAUGAAGAUAACAGCUGUUCAACGUGACAUAUUUCAACAUCACAAAUUAAGCUAUACGAUCAUGGAGGCAGAACGAAGAGAGUUCCCUUCGAGUGUUCGAGGUGAGUCGAAUGAAGAAGAAGAAGAAGAAGAAGAAGAAAAAGAGGA